UACAGAGGUCUCAAGCGUUGUUCGGAUUCAUUGGGCGUAAAGGGUGCGUAGGCGGCGCGGUAAGUCGGGUGUGAAAUCUUGGAGCUUAACUCCGAAACUGCAUUCGAUACUGCCGUGCUUGAGGACUGGAGAGGAGACUGGAAUUUACGGUGUAGCGGUGAAAUGCGUAGAUAUGACAUAGAACACCAAUUGCGAAGGCAGCUCGCUACACGAAUAUUGACUCUGAGGCACGAAAGCGUGGGGAUCAAACAGG
rnacentral:rRNA from 1 species